rnacentral:lncRNA from 1 species
AGUAUUAUAAAUAUUAUCUUUUUGAAAAUGUUUAAAGAACUAUUUAAAAAUGCCAUGUGUCUUUUCCCGUUUCUUUAUUUCUAUCUUUGUUAUCCUUAUUCGAGAAAAAUAUACUCUAUCUAUCUCCCUACCUCAGACAAGAACCCUUAUCCCCUCAGAAACGACUCUUGAAGAUCUUAAUGCAUCUCUUUCCUUCGUACUAAAGACUCCUGAGUCUCUUGCAUAAUGGGUUAAAACCCUCAACCUAAUCCCAUCCAAGCAAAAGUCACUAAUGCAUCUUCUGCGGGAUCAGGUACCAAGAAAUCCUUUGAUUCCCUACCUAUUGAGGAGAACAUGUUUGAUGGUGAUUUUUCAAAUAUAAAAGGAAAUCCAUUAAAUAUUUUAGCAGCCGGGGUUGAUUGGGUCACUCAGAGCUUGACUGAAAUGGUAAGUACUCCUAAAAGAAUAUUUAAAGAAAAUUACUGUACCUCCUAUAAAGGAUGAGUAGGUUGAUGAUCUUUCUAAAGAGCAUUUGACAUGAAAUAGGAUUGGACAAAAAUGUUAAAAAAAAUAGUUGAUGUAGCAUAAAGGGUUGGGUUACAUAUAAGCAAAGGUUGAGGAAGACCAGGAAAUCAUUUUUGAUGUUGCCAUUAGAAUGACAAAGAAAAGAACUACCUCUGAUUCUGCUAAAUCCACCACCCUAAUAGUGGGUAAACCCAAGAAGCCUACGGGGAAGAAGUCUCUUUCUGAGAAGAGGAAAAAAUUUGAUUAGUUUGAGGGACCAAGUAUUGAAUCAGGUUCCACCACUCCACCACAGGUAGCUAAGCGUAGUAAGGGACUAGUUACUGCAUCCAAGAGAAGAAGAAUUCAAAAGGUUACCAAGAUUCUCAUAAGGAAAGAUCGAAUUAAAAUUUCAAAAAAAAUAGAAGGUCCUCAAGGGUAGAGUCUUUGACCUUAAGAGUUUUGAUCUUUUUGGGAUGAAUGAACCAGUUGAUAUUGUUAAAAUUCUAGAAUGACUAUCUUUUUGAUUUGCCAGUUCCUGAAGUUCAUAAAAAAUAGGUAUGAGAAUUUUAAUAUAGUUUGUUGGUCACUGAGGAUGGUCUGAGUCUAUCCACAACUGUGCAUGGGGCAAAGAUUCAGAUUAACGAGACAAUAUUUGGGCAUAUUAUAGAAGUUCCUAUGCAAGGGACCAUGUCCCUAAUAAAAUUGAUUACCACUCCUAAGUUUGUGGCACACAUUGGAUGAUAACUGGUACUAUCUCAUUGUGAAAACGCAUUAUUUAUUCCGCAACAGAGUUGUUCCUUAUGGAGUCAUUGGGUAAGUUGAAGGAUGUUAUGUAGCAAAGCUCUACUGAGGGAUCUGGUACUACUUAUGCUUUGCAUGUGAAGGAUUGAGAGGUGAGAGCACAUGUCACCACAUUAAAUGUUGAAGUUAAGGACCUGACCAAGAAACUCCUCUGUGUUUAUGCUGUUGAAAAUGGGCGUUUGAACUUGGUUCUCUGCUCUCUUGCCUCCCAACCUCUAACUUCCUAAUCCUCUUUGUCUCCUAUUCUAUUGUAUCCUUUUUUUUUUGGUUAUGUAGCUAAUGUGAAUAGUUUUUAUGUAUUUUUAUUUAAUAAAUGUUUAUGAUGUUAUUCCAUGAAAUUAUGAAUGAAAUAUUUUAAUUUGUCUACCAUUUUUUCUUUUUCAUUUUGGCUUUGUUCAUUUGUGUAGUGCUGCCCCAGUGAUCAUGAAUUAACCUAAUGUGCAUUUUACUUUACUUGAUUUAUUGCUCUUACAUUUUUAUGAAGCCAAAAGGGGAAAGAUAUGUGUUUAUAACAGGCAGUUGAUUCAUGAUUAAGGCCUCGAAGUGAAAAGACAUGAUAGCUGAUAGGAAAAAUAUGACUAAAUAUUUAUGUAUUGGCUAAAGAAACCUAGUCGAAAGAAGACUAUAAUUGGAGGGACCUGAUAGACAGGGAGGAUAUUUUUCCAUCAUUACAAAAAGAGAAAUUAAUGUACAUAUAGUUUUGAUGAAUGAUAAACCUCACGGAGGAACCAUAUAACUGCACCAGGCCGACCUCAGAAGGAACAAGGGAAUCAAGAUCUCAG